rnacentral:snRNA from 1 species
AGAUUUGGGAGAAUAAUCUGGCUACAACAUCUGUCACUCCAUUGACCACCAGGAUUGAUUUACCUGAUGUGGCUUGGCUAGACAGGUGUCCCCUUCCCCAUGACCAUUCCAUGUAUGUGUAGCCUUCCUUCCUGAAGGUGCAUGCUCCAUUGAAGAGGAUGGUUCUUCCCAAAAGAAGACCAGUCUUCAAUCAAAAUCAUAAGAGUAGCUGCGCCCUAAAGCCCACACUAGGCCCAGUCUGCCUCUUCUGCCUGCUUAU